UUACGCGUGUGUUCUGUGAAACUGCGCCUCCCCGUGAUCUUUCAGGGAAUUGCAUCGUUCUGUGCGCUUCCUUGCCUUUGUACUCGUAUUGAACGGGGGGUCACUACGCCAUGCUGUGCCGGGCCUGACCAGGCCUAUGCAAUUACUGACGAGUGAAAGUCUCCUUCGCUCCAGUUGCGAAGAGCAGCGGCUGUGCGGCUGGACCCGGCCUUGCCGUCCGCUGAGGAGACGAGCCGUACCUCUUCACUCACGUUCCUUAUGGGAGUUUAUCUCAGGGAGCUGAUCUGAUCUCUGGCCAGGAGCUGGGAAGAGCCCACGACCGCUUCGGAUGCCGGCCCGCUCAUUUGUUUGUUAUUCAGAAGCGCGGCCUUCUUCGGCGAUGCCAAAAACACGCCUGUCCACGAACCUGAUGGAGGGCGAGCUGGUGUGUGGGACCUCCUGCAGACUCCCAAAGGGUCACUCAAAGCUGGUCCAUGAACACCAAGAUCUGGAGAUGUUCCUGCUGAACCAGCCCU